UCGGUUCGGGUUCUUCGGGACAAAAUGGUUCAACUCAGCUUACGGGUCAACUCAACUCGAUCAACCCGAGUUAACUCGGUCAAACUCAGCGGGUCAACUCGGUCAACGGCGCGUUUAUUUCGUCAUUCCUAUGGAAUAUUGUAGAAUGCACGCUAGCGAGUCUCGUCUUGGAAACGACAUUACGAAUUUACACAGGAAUAUUCAGGUGAGUUCAUAA
rnacentral:lncRNA from 1 species